rnacentral:misc_RNA from 1 species
AAGUCGUAACAAGGUUUCCGUAGGUGAACCUGCGGAAGGAUCAUUAACACGUAUCCAAACGUUAAACAACCCCGUGAACAUACAACCUACUCUGGUCGCCCGCUCGCAUGGACAAGCCCAGUAAAUCAAGCCCCGGAAAGUUUUUGAUUUGGGACCUCUGUGCGCGUGAGAAAAACUGACAGCGAUUCAUAGACAAGUGACACGGCGUCCCCAAGUGACCAGUGAAUGAAAGUGUCGCUGGAGCGUCAAGGACGACUCUUCAAGAUUCUAGAGGUCGCGGCUUGAGCUAACACCGCUCCCUUCCCCACUUUAUUGCCUUGCCUGUAAGCAUCCAUACGGAUGGGCAGGCCCCCCGAACAACUGUUAACAAUGGAUAUCUUGGUUCUC